AUGCUCAUGGAAAGAGCGGCUCGGAAGUCCGGGCCGAGCGAUGGGUCCUGGGACUCAGCGCUUCCUCCCUGCCCCGGGCCCUCCCACUGGACUGGAGUGCAGCUCCACGUGAGGGUGCUGAGCUGGCCAGCCCAUCCCACCCCGGCCCCCGCCCCACACCCAGCAGGACUGACUUCUGACGCACAGAUUCAGCCCUGGCUUAAAGCCUCUGUUCCCAGCCUCGGCCUGCCCUGGCCUCCUGUGCGGCCCCUCGGCCGACUCCCGCUGCAGCCCGCGAGGCUCCCUUCCACUCUCCUGACCCGGGGCCCUCGUGACGCCGCUCCUCCCGCGGGGAUGCCGGCCCGGUCUCUCCUUUCACCCUCACACAGCAACCGCUUCUGCGAGCGGCUGUCGCUGCAGCCUGCGGGGCGGGGCCCAUGCACCCACCUCGGUGUUGGGGCCACCCGCGCACCAGCUCAGGCCGUCUGCCCCACCGUGCUGUGCACCCCGUCGGGCCCUGUGACCCCUCUCUGCCCCGUCUGUGCCCAGGAGGGAGAAGGUCAGGCCACCUGGCCACCCUGGAGCCUGGACGAGAGCAGCAAUGAUGGUGUGGACGUGGAGGAUGCCAGCCCGCUCUGGCUCACCUUCCUGGCCCUCUUCCUCGUCACUGUGGUCUACGGCGGCUUCGUCACCUUCAUCAAGGUGAAGUAGCCCUGGAGAGAAGACACCAGGCUCCGCACAGACAGAACCUGGCCUCCACACCGCCUGCUGCUCCCAGAGGGCAGAGGAGCCCACGCUGGACCCCACCCUGCGGCCCCACCCUCUGUCCACCACAGAGCCCAGCCCCCAGCCCGAGGAGGACAUCAUGGUGCAGAGAGGGGGCCCCCGGAUGGCCCUGCAGCCCCAGAGCCGGUGGCCCUGGCUGCAGCCCCCUUGCCUCCCCACCCACCAUCCGCCACAUAAAGAGCUUUGAUCCUUCUUCCUGCCUCCUGUUUCUGUGCCCCAGCCCUCAGAUCUUGCAGGUGAGAGCACCCAGGAGGCCGAGGGCACACACCGAAGUGUGUCCACACACACAGGAGAGGUGGGCAGGGUCAGGCACGCAGCAGGGGGCUGCCUCCAGAAGAAGAUGCCGAGCCUACUGCUCCAAAGGGACUGGGCACACCAGACAUGUGCGUCCACACCUGCACACACGGGUGCACACACAUGCAGACACAUGCCCGUGGGCACACAUGCGGAGGUCUGCAUCCACACACACAUGCACACACAUGGAUUCACUCUCAUAGAGACAUGAAAGCACGUGUGCCCGUGUACCACUCAGGCGUGCGCACGCG
rnacentral:lncRNA from 1 species